rnacentral:rRNA from 1 species
AUUAGCAGCCACACCACCCUGCAAUUCACAGCUGGCAGCCCACUGAAGCUCAGCAGGUGUGUGCCUGGUCAGUAUCUGGAUGGGAGACCUCCUGGGAAAAACUAAGGUUGCUGCUGGAA